rnacentral:rRNA from 1 species
GAUUCGCAUUCGUAGGUGACCUGCGGAGGAUCAUUAUUGAAUUUUUUGGUGGUGGAUUGUUGCUGGCCUUUGGGUAUGUGCACAUCCUCCUCCGAUUUCUAUUCAUCCACCUGUGCACUUUUUGUAGGAGUUCUUUCAUCGGGUUUUUGAAGGUGCUCAUUAUGAGUUACUUGAAAAGACUAGUUGACAAGGCUUCUAUGUUCUUAUAAACCAUUGAAGUAUGUUAUAGAAUGAUCUUGUUAUUGGGACUUUAUUGACCCUUUAAACUUAAUACAACUUUCAGCAACGGAUCUCUUGGCUCUCCCAUCGAUGAAGAACGCAGCGAAAUGCGAUAAGUAAUGUGAAUUGCAGAAUUCAGUGAAUCAUCGAAUCUUUGAACGCACCUUGCGCCCUCUGGUAUUCCGGAGGGCAUGCCUGUUUGAGUGUCAUUAAAUUCUCAACUUUAUAAGUUUUUAAUUAAUAAAGGUUGGAAGGUGGAAGGUUGGCAGGGGUUGGCCACUCCCCCUAAAUUUAAUAAUGGGAACCCCGGUUUGGUAAUUCCAACCCUGGUGGGGAAAAUAACCAACUUUUGGUGGAACCCUAACAUAAUAAAGGUCCAAUGGUUUGGGGUGGUGGAUUUAAUUUGGUCCAUCCGGUCCAAUCAUUGGAAAAAAAGGGAAAGUCCGGUUUCCUACUUGCUUGAAUGGCUAAAUAUAACCUAAUUGGUUGGACUCCAAUCCAGGAAGAAUAACCGGUGGACCUAAGCAUAACCAUAAGCGGAAGAAAAGAAACCAACCAGGAAUCCCCCAAUAACCGGCAAUGGAGAAGGAAAACUUCAAUUUAAAAUCCUGGCAGUCUUCUGAUGGUCGAAGUGUAUUUAGAAGAGUGGUAACCCUUGCUGGACGUACAAAAACCUCUCAACACAA